UAAUCAAUAAUCUAAAUUCGUUUCCGGCGCGUACAUUUGAUGAUAAUCCCAGGUGGCGUUGUUUCUUGGUCCAAAUUCUGUAUUUCUCGAUGACGUGUUAGAUUCAGAGGAUUCACGUCUUGAUGAUGAUGAAUGGGAUUUCGUAGCUAUGGUGACUCUGGGUUGCAUCCUGGCUAUUUUGAAGGAAAAUUUUGUGUUGUUAGCUAUAAUGUUGGUAGGGUUAUGAUCAAGGGGCAGGCUCCAUGCAAAUGCCCUUUUCCCAGAAGAUAGCAGCCUGACUGAAAGAUGUUAUCAUCGGUUUGUCUUUAAACCGGACGAUCCAAAGUGUUGUCGUGAUCUCCCAUUUCGUCUGUCAGUUCCAUCUACGAAGAAACCUCCUAUCUUUACACAAGCGUGGUGCACUCACUGGUAUGAGGAACUGACUCGGAUGAUUAACUUCGUGUAUUCACUGUUCCAAUGGGGAUCACCAGUCCUCGUAUUUUGAAUGCUCGAGGGCGUAUCAAGAGUGCAUCCGAUGUCGUUAGUGCUCACGGAAUAAAGCUCGGAUCAAGGGGUAAAGGCGUCUCAGAUGCGGCUCAAAAAGGCAAAGGUAAAAGCGAAGUAAUUCCGAAGGAUGCUGCUGGUGUCAUUGAGGAAUUUUGCUUGACAUCCUGUGGUAAUAUGGAAUUGCUCUCUCUUUUUUUGCUAUAAAGCCAUCGUGGCGUAUUCGGGUGUCGGUUCGGAAGAAAGGUGAAACAGAAACGUCAUCAGCCGAUCAAGGAGGUGGAACACUCAGUCCCCAAGAUUCAUCUUCUGGUAUAAAUACACAGGACUCUGGCAUGGCAUGCACUGAUUAUCCAGAAGAGCAAAGCAACCCCAAGGACAUGGCGGUUCCGUCCCGAGAUAUCCUGAUUCCCUUUGCUACGGAAGUCCUUGGUCUUUAGUUGGCUAACCAACCUUGUUUGAUUUUAAAGGAAAUGCGGCUCCUGUUGCUACCACUUAUUCUCACUUUGUGCCAGUGUACUGUUGCCCCAGAAUUAAAAGAUCAUUACAAGGCGGUUGUGUAAGAGCAUGGUCAUGUGGAUACCAUAGUCCUUGCUGACCGAAAUAAUAUAAUCUCCAGUGUUUCUGAUUUGGUUGUUGUGGCAAAGGUGAUGGCCGAAGUGGGUGAUAAAUGUAACUCCGAAGACACUCUUGAGACGUGGAGGAAUAGUUUUGUUUUACCAAGCCAAUUGAGUUUUAACAUGCGCUGGAUUGAAGUAUUAUUCCACAAUCUAGAACAGAAACGGGCAGCUCGUUGUUUAGUCCUUCCGGGAGAGAUUGCUGAUCUAGAAGAAAAGAUUCUAUCGGAGACACAAAAGCUGAAAAAUCAACAGAAAGAGCAGAUUCGUGUAACUACUGAGACUUCCAAGAUUGCUGCAGAUGUUGCGGAGACUAACAUGAGUCUGAGUUUGAAGAAAAAGGUGUUGGACGAGAAGAUUGAACUGGCCAACUUUUCUUAGGAGUUUUCAUUUCUUGUCUUGGUUUCGAUGUUUCCUUUCUUCGUCUUCUCUUAUUUUGUUGGUUAUCAUAUUGUCUUGUUGGAAUAUCUCUGGGGAAAACACAACUUGUCGUGUCUUUCUUUCUGGAUUUCUGUGUCGACUUAGGAUUGAUGCAUUAUUAAAUAUUUCUUCCUAGAGAUUGGCGCUCGCUAAUCCCAAAGCUUUGAGUGUCUGAUUUGUGACAUUGGUUUGUCAUUA